GGCUCAGGAUGAACGCUAGCGGCAGGCUUAACACAUGCAAGUCGAGGGGUAUAGUUCUUCGGAACUAGAGACCGGCGCACGGGUGCGUAACGCGUAUGCAAUCUACCUUUUGCAGAGGGAUAGCCCAGAGAAAUUUGGAUUAAUACCUCAUAGUAUGUGAGAAUGGCAUCAUUUUCACAUUAAAGUCACAACGGCAAAAGAUGAGCAUGCGUCCCAUUAGCUUGUUGGUAAGGUAACGGCUUACCAAGGCUACGAUGGGUAGGGGUCCUGAGAGGGAGAUCCCCCACACUGGUACUGAGACACGGACCAGACUCCUACGGGAGGCAGCAGUGAGGAAUAUUGGACAAUGGGCGCAAGCCUGAUCCAGCCAUGCCGCGUGCAGGAUGACGGUCCUAUGGAUUGUAAACUGCUUUUGUACAGGAAGAAACACUGGUUCGUGAACCAGCUUGACGGUACUGUAAGAAUAAGGAUCGGCUAACUCCGUGCCAGCAGCCGCGGUAAUACGGAGGAUCCAAGCGUUAUCCGGAAUCAUUGGGUUUAAAGGGUCCGUAGGCGGUUUAGUAAGUCAGUGGUGAAAGCCCAUCGCUCAACGGUGGAACGGCCAUUGAUACUGCUAGACUUGAAUUAUUAGGAAGUAACUAGAAUAUGUAGUGUAGCGGUGAAAUGCUUAGAGAUUACAUGGAAUACCAAUUGCGAAGGCAGGUUACUACUAAUGGAUUGACGCUGAUGGACGAAAGCGUGGGUAGCGAACAGGAUUAGAUACCCUGGUAGUCCACGCCGUAAACGAUGGAUACUAGCUGUUGGGGGCAACUUCAGUGGCUAAGCGAAAGUGAUAAGUAUCCCACCUGGGGAGUACGUUCGCAAGAAUGAA
rnacentral:rRNA from 1 species